AUUGAACGCUGGCGGCAUGCCUUACACAUGCAAGUCGAACGGCAGCACGGGUGCUUGCACCUGGUGGCGAGUGGCGAACGGGUGAGUAAUACAUCGGAACAUGUCCUGUAGUGGGGGAUAGCCCGGCGAAAGCCGGAUUAAUACCGCAUACGAUCUACGGAUGAAAGCGGGGGACCUUCGGGCCUCGCGCUAUAGGGUUGGCCGAUGGCUGAUUAGCUAGUUGGUGGGGUAAAGGCCUACCAAGGCGACGAUCAGUAGCUGGUCUGAGAGGACGACCAGCCACACUGGGACGGAGACACGGCCCAGACUCCUACGGGAGGCAGCAGUGGGGAAUUUUGGACAAUGGGCGAAAGCCUGAUCCAGCAAUGCCGCGUGUGUGAAGAAGGCCUUCGGGUUGUAAAGCACUUUUGUCCGGAAAGAAAUCCUUGGCUCUAAUACAGUCGGGGGAUGACGGUACCGGAAGAAUAAGCACCGGCUAACUACGUG
rnacentral:rRNA from 1 species